rnacentral:rRNA from 1 species
GACGAACGCUGGCGGCGUGCUUAACACAUGCAAGUCGAACGGAAAGGCCCUGCUUUUGUUGGGUGCUCGAUUGGCGAACGGGUGAGUAACACGUGAGUAACCUGCCCUUGACUUUGGGAUAACUUCAGGAAACUGGGGCUAAUACCGGAUAGGAGCUCCUGCUGCUUGGUGGGGGUUGGAAAGUUUCGGCGGUUGGGGAUGGACUCGCGGCUUAUCAGCUUGUUGGUGGGGUAGUGGCUUACCAAGGCUUUGACGGGUAGCCGGCCUGAGAGGGUGACCGGCCACAGUGGGACUGAGAUACGGCCCAGACUGCUACGGGAGGCAGCAGUGGGGGAUAGUGCGCAAUGGGCGGAAGGCUGAUGCAGCAACGCCGCGUGCGGGAUGACGGCCUUCGGGGUGUAACCCGCGUGCGCCUGUGACGAAGCGUGAGUGACGGUAAUGUGUAAAGAAGCACCGGCUAACUACGUG